UCUGUGACUGUCCUGCUCCCGCGGCGGCCAGCCACCCACCGCUCCGCCCCUGCCUGAGCACAAGAGAGGCGGUAAAUCGGAUGAUGCUUCUGAGGAUCCCGUGUGACACACAACCCGCAACGACGUCACGCAGCUGCUGUCACCAAGUAGCUGCUCAGCCAACAUUGGUCUCAUUCUUUGACCUGGUCAGUCCAAAUAGGACAUCACCCAUCAAAAAGAAAAAGGAAAAAGCUCCUGCAUUCCUACCUUUCUUUAGGGAGAAGCAAGUCUUAAACCAUGAAAAUCUGUAAGAAAGUACAGUUGGUCUGGCUUGGAUUUUCACUACUGGAAGCCACUUCUGAAUAUAUAUCCUAGACCUUUGAGAUGAAAUCUCCACCUUGUGCAUCCUGACCUCCUACAUUCUCAGACGGGGUUAUACCUAUUGGUCCAUUAUCGUCCUUUGGUGUCGGAAGCCAAGCUUCAGGGAGCCUGAGGCCAGAGCGUGGGAGGAGGAAUGAGACUGAGAAGCUCACAGUCACCGAGGCCGCAUACACCCCCACACCCAGAGGAGAGAAGAUCCCACGUGAA